rnacentral:tRNA from 1 species
GGGGUUGUGGCUCAGUGGUAGUGCGCUUGCCUGGCAUGCAUAAGGCACUGGGUUCAAUUCUCAGCACCA